rnacentral:lncRNA from 10 species
GGAGUCCUCACUGGCUGAACCUGCUUUCUUGGGCCCAAGGAGCCUCCUGAGAAUUUCUGGCAAGUUAAUGGCCUCAGAGAAUCUGGCCAAACUCCAGGGCCACCUAUCAUGAGCAGCCUUGUUUGCUGGCAAUUUGCAGAGUUGCAAGGGGUAAAGGACUGGCUUUGACUAUUCAGUCUUUCAGGAAAACUUGAUCCAGUCGGCUAUAUUCUUGGACUGGCAAAACUGUAAUGUUGAGUGCUUCUACCAACUGAUAAUCUAUGGGAAAUCAAGACAGAGCUGCUCUGGGAUGACUAUGCACAUUGAAGGAGGAGUGGAAUUUCAUUUACAAGACAUUUUGAUGAAGUCUCAGUAGGGAAGAAAACUAACUUCUGGAGAGAGCUUACCUGUGCUAGAUAAUUGUACUUGCAUUAUUUCACUGAAUCUUUUUGGCAAAGCUUUGAGUCACUGGAAAGGCAGCAGAGAGGGCGUGGAGACAGACACAUCUGGAUGAGAAACUCCAGCUCCACCCACUUAACAGCUGUGUGAUCUUGGAUGUGCCAUUUACUCUCUUGCCUCAGUUCGUUCAUCUGUGAAAUGGAGCAAACAUCACAUCCUUGGUGGUUGUGAAGAUUAACCAUGAUCAUGUUUCAUCACAUCUUGCCUGGAUGACUGCAGUGGCCACUAAGCUGGUCACAGAGUGAGCUUUCUUAAAUGCAAGUGUAAGGAUGGCAGAGCCUCAAGUGCUUCAGUUUCUCCAAGUGCCUGUUCCCUGAGUGGCAUACCAUUGAAGGCCAUCUGAGUCUGCAGCUAUGUUUCCACUCUCACUGGUGUGUGCACCUGGAGCUGUCACUUUUUCAAUAAUGCAUUUCUGACUCCCUCAUCAACAAAGGUCUCAGGUUUUUUCAUCUGUGAAAUGUGAGCAGAAACCCCAGCCCGGCAUACCUCCUACGGGUAGGUUGUGAUCCUGAUGUGAUCCUCAACAAGGCUGCUCAUGAUGUGUGUCUGCUGGAUGGAGGCCUCAGAAAACUCAUUUGACAUCUUGGCUGUAACUUUGUCCAAGUCUGUGUCUGAUGUCAUUAUGCAAUCAAUUCUAUACUAGAUUCUGCCGGGUAAGAUCUUAAAAGACAAAAGCUUUGUUCUCCAGAUCGUCACUGGUUUUGAGGACGUACCUUGUUCAUUCAUUCAUUCAUUCAUUCUGCAAAUUAUUUAUUAGAGCAAAUUAACUUCUGUGACUCUCAAUCUUCUCUUCUACAUAACAGGAAUAAUAAACCUUGCUUCAUAGGGUUAAGUUUUAGGCAUAUGGCUGGUACUCAAGAAAUGAUUAUUAUUAGAUUAUUAUUAUUAUUAGAUUCUUCACAGAAGUCUUAGUAGUAGUCAAAGCAUAAAAGACAUUUAAAGGCUGGACGCUGUGGCUCACAUCUGAAAUCCCAGCACUUUGGGAGGCAGAUGUGGGAGGAUCACCUGAGGUCAGGAGAUCAAGACCAUCCUGGCUAACACGGUGAAACCCCAUCUCUACUAAAAAUACAAAAAAUUAGCCAGGCAUGGUGGCGGGCGCCUGUAGUCCCAGCUCCUCGGGAGGCUGAAGCAGGAGAAUGUCGUGAACCCAGGAAGCAGAGCUUGUAGUGAGCCGAGAUCGCACCACUGCACUCCAGCCUGGGCGACAGAGCGAGACUCCGUCUCAAAAAAAAAAAAAAAAAAAAAAAAAAGAUUAAGUAGGGUCUACCCCUUGCCUCUAGUCUGGCAUAGUAGAAUUACUGUUAUUUUCUCAUUUUUUUAGUUGAAGAAACUGAAAGUGAGGUAAAGAGUCUUAUACCCAUGAACUGGACAUUAUUAUUUCUUUCCUUUCACAAAUGAGAAAACUGAGGCAUAGAGAUGAUAUUUAACUCUCCCCUAGGGACAUAUCACUAAUCAGCAGUAGAUCCCAAAUAGGACUGCAGGUAGCCUGGCUCCAGAGACUAGGAUUGUAGCCUCUAGACUCAAUGGGAUUAGAGGCUAUAGUGAGAAGAAUAUUGGAUUUGGAGUUAGAGCAAUCUGGCUUCUAAUCUCUGCUCCAGCACAGACUAUCUUGAACCUGGGAAAGCCACUUAACUGUCUGAGCUCUGGUUUCCUUAUCUGGGAACUGGAAAUAAUGAUAAUACCUACUCUGUAGGAAUCUUGUAAGAAAGAGAAGUAACAUAUGUCAUUCCUUAGGUAGUGUAAAUUCUAUCUUAGACCAUCAUAGACAUUUUUGCUUAAAGACAGGGUCUCACUCUGUCUCCCAGGCUGGAGUGCAGUGGUGCAAUCAUAGCUCACGGCAACCUUGAACUCCUGGGCUCAAGUGAUCCUCCUGUCUAGGCCUCCCACAGUGCUGGGAUUACAGGCAUGAGCUCCCAUGCCCGGCCAGGUCACCACAGACUCUUAAACAUCACAAGAACUUUUGCAAACAUGACUGUAUGGAAUUAGUGCAGUCACAUGAGGAGGAAUAUAGGAGAGAGAUUUUUUAUCCCUGUUUGCAGAUAAGGAAAGUAAGCCAGAGAGGAAGAGAAAGGGGGAAGGGAACUCUUUUAAAUGCUUUCAUUUAUUCAAUCAAUAUCAGUUAAGCAGCUAUUCAAUUUAUGUUGACUGAUAUCAUUUAUUUAAUAAAUGUCAGUUGAGCAGUAUCACAUCAUGAGGGGUACAAGGAUUGACCCUAUUUUUUUCUGGAUGAGGAACUGAGGCUCAGAUAAAGCAUAACUUGCACAUAGUCACAGAACUAAUCAUGAGCAACACUGCAAUUUAAACUAAGGUAUGUGUGGACCCAGACAUGCUCACAGUGGAGUGAAUUUCCCCCAGGUCUCAGAUGUAAGGGGCAAAGUCAAGGAAGGCUCUAACCCUAAUCUUCUGGGUCCAGAUCUAGUCCACUUUCAUCCCACCAUGUGGUGUAGCCCUACAAAUAAGUUGAAUUCCAAAUUCUAAGCAAGCAUUGACUAAUGCAAAAAUGGUUAAAAGGCCAGAACCCUAGAGGCAGGAAAUGUCACCUUCCUUGAUUAAACCUGGGAAAUGUACCCAUUAUGGAUAAGAUUUGCUGUCUACAGGAAACCGUCUUAGACAUAAACUGAUCCUAUCUUCCAGCCAAAGUGAUUUGAAGAUGGCUUAACUAAGGAGAUUUAAGUAGCUGACUACCUUGAAGGUAAUCUAUGAAAAGGGACCUCUGUCUUCGGAAAGUGCGUCUACCACAAAAGUCUGUGAGGAUGAUGGGUGUGGUUCUGUGAUAAGUGCAAUCAGAAAGUCCAUAUGAGUUCUGAAAAAGUGCAGGUGACCUUGGAGCCAGAGAGAUGGGGUUCAAAUCCUAGUUUCUCUCCCACUUUGGACUUAUUUGUGUUUAACCAUCUUCAUCUGUAAAAUGGAGAGAGCAUUGUUUUGUUUGUUUGCUUGAGAAUCUAGAGACAUUAGGAUGAUUAAACCAUACUGUACACAUCUCUGCUAAUCUUUUAAGGAAAAAUCAUGGAGAAUGGAAAAAAAAUCAGUGAGUGAAAAGAUUUCUCUGUAUCUUCGUCACAAUCCAGAGAAAAGAAGUUCAGAAUCCAAUGGUUUUGGACAACUUGGUCAUCAGAAAAAUGAAGUGUGUCCUGUCUUUGGUGUAUUUCACUAGGUUCUACCUUAUGAACAUGAUGACAAUAAUAAUAAAAAAGUACUUUGCUG